AGCGCAGACGGCGAAGCAAGUCUGAAGUGAAAUGCAUGGGCUCAACCCAUGAAUUGCUUUGGAAACUGUUUGGCUUGAGUGUCGGAGGGGCAAGCGGAAUUCCUAGUGUAGCGGUGAAAUGCGUAGAUAUUAGGAGGAACACCGGAGGCGAAGGCGGCUUACUGGACGACAACUGACGUUGAGGCUCGAAGGCGUGGGGAGCAAACA
rnacentral:rRNA from 1 species